GUCUACGGCCAUACCACCCUGAACGCGCCCGAUCUCGUCUGAUCUCGGAAGCUAAGCAGGGUCGGGCCCGGUUAGUACUUGGAUGGGAGACCGCCUGGAAUACCGGGUGCUGUAGGCU
rnacentral:rRNA from 2 species